rnacentral:rRNA from 1 species
CUACGGGAUGCUGCAGUGGGGAAUAUUGGACAAUGGGGGAAACCCUGAUCCAGCAAUGCCGCGUGUGUGAAGAAGGCCUGCGGGUUGUAAAGCACUUUCGGUUGGGAGGACUGCUUCUAGCACUAAUAUUGUUGGAAGUUGACGUUACCUUCAGAAGAAGCACCGGCUAACUCCGUGCCAGCAGCCGCGGUAAUAGGGAGGGUGCAAGCGUUAAUCGGAAUUACUGGGCGUAAAGCGCGCGUAGGCGGCUAGAUCAGUCGGGUGUGAAAGCCCCGGGCUUAACCUGGGAACUGCAUCCGAUACUGUCUAGCUAGAGUACAGGAGAGGAGAGUGGAAUUCCACAUGUAGCGGUGAAAUGCGUAGAUAUGUGGAGGAACACCAAUGGCGAAGGCAGCUCUCUGGCCUGAUACUGACGCUGAGGUGCGAAAGCGUGGGGAGCAAACAGGAUUAGAUACCCGCGUAGUC